GCAAAUACAUCUAUAUAAAAUAAUGCUAUAAAUACCCAGUCGACUGAGCUUUCAUCUCAGUUUGGCUUCGCACUCUCUUGUGAUGAAUAUAAUCAGCGCUUUGAGCAUUUCACUUUAUGUGGCAACAGCUGGUCGGCUUUCGUUAGCUGAUGAUGGCGGUAAUUUUUGUAUGAGAGGAGAUGGACAGCCUGGAAAAUGUAUACAUAUUAGAGAGUGUCAAAAAAUAGACGACUUAUACCAUCUGAUUAGAAGGAAACUGGGAACACUUGCUGACCGACAAUACAUGAAGAAUUCACGUUGCCCCGUUUAUAAAACGAAUCAUGUAUGUUGUGAAGAAGAAGUAUCCGAGGGAGUUAAAAUAUUGUUGGAACAGGAUUGUGGUU
rnacentral:sRNA from 1 species